AAGUCGAACGGACGAUCGAGGCUUGCCUUGAUCGUUAGUGGCGGACGGCUGAGUAACGCGUAGGUGACCUGUCCCGAAGUGGGGAAUAACUGCCCGAAAGGGUGGCUAAUACCGCAUGUGGUGGUGUGUUCAUUCACACCAGUAAAGCCGCAAGGCGCUUCGGGAGGGGCCUGCGUCCGAUUAGCUCGUUGGUGGGGUAACGGCUCACCAAGGCGACGAUCGGUAGGUGGUCUGAGAGGACGAUCACCCAGACUGGGACUGAGACACGGCCCAGACUCCUACGGGAGGCAGCAGUCGGGAAUUUUGCGCAAUGGACGAAAGUCUGACGCAGCAACGCCGCGUGAGGGAUGAAGGCCUUCGGGUUGUAAACCUCUUUUAUCAGGGAAGAUAAUGACGGUACCUGAUGAAUAAGUCACGGCUAACUACGUGCCAGCAGCCGCG
rnacentral:rRNA from 1 species